rnacentral:misc_RNA from 1 species
GGCGUAGUGCGCACACCAUCCCCAACCUCUCAAGAGAAGUGAAAAGAUCACUCAUUUUCUGCUCAUCUCUCUGUUAAUCACUAGUUAAAUAAUCCAUCAGGCAUCACCGCAUCAGCUUACUGAGCACCGAGUCAUUCGUUCAUAGACUUCACAAGCUCUCGAAACCAAGAAGAGAAAGGAACACGCCCUUUUCUAGCUACCCCCAGUUCGAAUUUCAACUUCACACGCCUGCCUUCUCUAAUGAACCACAAUCCCUGACAGGAUUAUGGAUCCUCCAUUGAUAAAUGAGACCUCCUUCUCUGCAGCUAAUCCAUCUUCCUACACUUUGACCGAGAUUUGGCCUUUUCCCGCA